UCUGUCCAGCAUGUUUAAAUCUUACAAACAUCGCUUGAUUGUGGCCGAUGUGAGACCUGCAUGUUUUAAUCAGGUUGAGGAAACAUGACUUUAUUAUAAUCUCUGGUGAGGCUCCUCCCUCUGGAAUUCUCCUCCCCAAAACUUUUGGAGGGAAAAUUCAAAUGUAACAGGACACAGGACAGUUCCAGGAGCAGAGGACACACAGUGUGGAGCAGGAGGAUUAUGAGAACUGAUCUGGAGAGUCGUCUACAAAGAGUGACGUCCAGAGCUCUGCUGGAGCUGUGGGGAAGUUCAUGAAUGUUAUAGUUGAUGUUUCAGAAAAAAGGAAGAUAUUUGAGAACCAACAAAACACAGACCACAGAUGAACAAAGUGAUGUGGCAUUAGGAGACUUUAUACCAGAUGCCCUCCCUGUUACUGUGUUUAGAGGAAGAAAAGCAGCACAUGGCAGAGACCAGAGCUUCUUCACUGGAAUAAAUCUUCACACUGUCCAGCUCCAAACUGUGUGUCUCUGUCCCUG